GAUGAACGCUGGCGGCGUGCCUAAUACAUGCAAGUCGAGCGAAUGGAUUAAGAGCUUGCUCUUAUGAAGUUAGCGGCGGACGGGUGAGUAACACGUGGGUAACCUGCCCAUAAGACUGGGAUAACUCCGGGAAACCGGGGCUAAUACCGGAUAACAUUUUGAACCGCAUGGUUCGAAAUUGAAAGGCGGCGUCGGCUGUCACUUAUGGAUGGACCCGCGUCGCAUUAGCUAGUUGGUGAGGUAACGGCUCACCAAGGCAACGAUGCGUAGCCGACCUGAGAGGGUGAUCGGCCACACUGGGACUGAGACACGGCCCAGACUCCUACGGGAGGCAGCAGUAGGGAAUCUUCCGCAAUGGACGAAAGUCUGACGGAGCAACGCCGCGUGAGUGAUGAAGGCUUUCGGGUCGUAAAACUCUGUUGUUAGGGAAGAACAAGUGCUAGUUGAAUAAGCUGGCACCUUGACGGUACCUAACCAGAAAGCCACGGCUAACUACGUGCCAGCCGCCGCAGUAA
rnacentral:rRNA from 1 species